rnacentral:rRNA from 1 species
UACGUAGGGGGCUAGCGUUGUUCGGAUUUACUGGGCGUAAAGCGCACGUAGGCGGCUAUUUAAGUCAGGGGUGAAAUCCCAGAGCUCAACUCUGGAACUGCCUUUGAUACUGGGUAUCUCGAGUAUGGAAGAGGUGAGUGGAAUUCCGAGUGUAGAGGUGAAAUUCGUAGAUAUUCGGAGGAACACCAGUGGCGAAGGCGGCUCACUGGUCCAUUACUGACGCUGAGGUGCGAAAGCGUGGGGAGCAAACAGG